rnacentral:rRNA from 1 species
UACGUAGGGGGCAAGCGUUGUCCGGAUUUAUUGGGCGUAAAGGGCGCGUAGGCGGUUUCUUAAGUUUGAAGUGACAGUGGGUGGCUUAACUACCCAAGGCCUUUGAAAACUGGAGCACUUGAGGACCAGAGAGGGACAUAGAAUUCCGGGUGGAGUGGUGAAAUGCGUAGAUAUCCGGAGGAAUACCAAAGGCGAAGGCAGUGUCCUGGAGGGUGACUGACGCUGAGGCGCGAAAGCUAGGGGAGCGAACAGG